rnacentral:lncRNA from 1 species
UGAAGAAUAGAGGGUAGAAAUAGUAGUAGUAGCAGCUAGCAUGGGAGAGUAGUAAAAGUAGCAGUUUUACUAGUUAAGAUGGAGAAUAACGGCGGCAGCCGGUUGGAGAGGAGAAAGCGCGCCAAGUGGGAUGGCGGGAAGUGAGAUCGCAGAAGGGUUCAGGUGGGCGGACGAGGGAGACCCUAGGCGACUGGGGCAUCCAUGGCGCUCUGAGGAAGAGAAGGAAGGAUUGAGGAGAUAAGUAGAUCCGACCGAAUCCAAGCGCUUGGGAGAAAAAGAAGGCGCAGCGGGUCGAAGCAGCAGCCUUCUGGAGCGGAGG